rnacentral:rRNA from 1 species
AUUGAACGCUGGCGGCAUGCCUUACACAUGCAAGUCGAACGGCAGCACGGGAGCAAUCCUGGUGGCGAGUGGCGAACGGGUGAGUAAUAUAUCGGAACGUGCCCAGUCGUGGGGGAUAACGCAGCGAAAGCUGUGCUAAUACCGCAUACGAUCUAUGGAUGAAAGCGGGGGAUCGCAAGACCUUGCGCGAUUGGAGCGGCCGAUAUCAGAUUAGCUAGUUGGUGAGGUAACGGCUCACCAAGGCGACGAUCUGUAGCUGGUCUGAGAGGACGACCAGCCACCCUGGAACUGAGACACGGUCCAGACUCCUACGGGAGGCAGCAGUGGGGAAUUUUGGACAAUGGGCGCAAGCCUGAUCCAGCAAUGCCGCGUGCAGGAUGAAGGCCUUCGGGUUGUAAACUGCUUUUGUACGGAACGAAACGGUGAGCUCUAAUACAGUUUGCUAAUGACGGUACCGUAAGAAUAAGCACCGGCUAACUACGUGCCAGCCGCCGCCGUAACAC